GAGUUUGAUUAUGGCUCAGAUUGAACGCUGGCGGCAGGCUUAACACAUGCAAGUCGAACGGUAGCAGGAGAAAGCUUGCUUUCUUGCUGACGAGUGGCGGACGGGUGAGUAAUGCUUGGGAAUCUGGCUUAUGGAGGGGGAUAACUACUGGAAACGGUAGCUAAUACCGCGUAAUAUCGAGAGAUUAAAGACUGGGACCUACGGGCCAGUUGCCAUAAGAUGAGCCCAAGUGGGAUUAGGUAGUUGGUGGGGUAAAGGCCUACCAAGCCCGCGAUCUCUAGCUGGUCUGAGAGGAUGACCAGCCACACUGGAACUGAGACACGGUCCAGACUCCUACGGGAGGCAGCAGUGGGGAAUAUUGCACAAUGGGGGGAACCCUGAUGCAGCCAUGCCGCGUGAAUGAAGAAGGCCUUCGGGUUGUAAAGUUCUUUCGGUGGUGAGGAAGGUAUCAACUUUAAUAGAGUUGGUAAUNGACGUUAUCCACAGAAGAAGC
rnacentral:rRNA from 1 species